GAGGACUUAGCUCAGUGAUAGAGUGCUUGCCUAGGAUGUAUGAUGCCCUGGGUUCAAUACCCAGAACAUCA
rnacentral:tRNA from 1 species